rnacentral:rRNA from 1 species
AACUCUUUAAAAUUGAUUUACCCAAAAUUUAUCACACACAAAUAAGUUUAUAAAUUAACUAACUUUAGUACUGUAAAGGAAGCCGUCAAUUAUCAAACAUAAAUCCUCUGCCUUUUGUAUCAGGAUGUUUUUAAGUAAAAUAAAAUAUUUAUCCCGAAGCAGGAAGAGCUACCAAAAAGUGUCUCUUACAUUGUAAAGUAAUACUUAACUUUUUGUUAGAGAAGACAUUUUAAACAAUUCCUGUAUAUCUGGUUUAUUUGUAAAUUAAUAUAAUUAAGUUUCUUUUUUAAUUUAAAAAGAUUUAAAUUCAUGAGGGGACCACUCUCACGAAAUAUCUUAAUUUUAAACUUGUUAAUAGCUGAAGAAGGUUUAACCUCCCUCUUAUCAUUGACCAAAACCAAUUAAAUAGCUACAAAUAGAUAAGCUAACUACUAAGCGCCCACAAUAAAACUAUUAUUACUAAAAUAAUAUUACUUAAUAACACAAGUUAUCCUACUCUAUUUCUAGAUAUUAAGAAGGAACUAGACAAACCAUACUUACGCCUGUUUAUCAAAAACAUCUCUUAUAAAACUAUAGGUACGACCUGCCCAGUGAAGUUUAACGGCCGCAGUACCCUAACUGUGCAAAGGUAGCAUAAUCAUUUGUCUUUUAAUUGAAGACUCGUAUGAACGGUCACACGUAAGAAAAUUGUCUCCUUUAUUGAUAGAAAAUUAUCAACCAAGUGAAAAGACUUGUAUAAAUCGGAGGGACGACAAGACCCUGUAAAACUCUCCCUCUCCCCUAAAACCGACGUAUCAGAAUAGAGGUUUUUGGAUGGGGGUUGACUGGGGCGGUAAUAACCAAUGUAAACGGUUUAAAAUCUAACUUUAUGAAAGAAUUUAUAUAGCCUUAAUCAAGAAUAAAUAACAAGUUACUUCAGGGAUAACAGCGUAAUACUUUUUAAGAGACCCUAUCGAUAAAAGUGCUUACGACCUCGAUGUUGAAUUGAAAUCCCUCUCAAGCAGCAGCCUGCGAUUAAGGAAGUCUGUUCGACUUAUAAUAUUUCACAUGAUUUGAGUUAAGACCGGCGAGAGCCAGGUUGGUUUCUAUCUUCCGGACUAUAGAUAAUAAUUAGUUUUGUACGAAAGGACUCUCUAAUAAUGAUAUAUCAUUUAAAAUUGAAUAACUAUUUUCUAACCUGAAUA